rnacentral:rRNA from 1 species
GACGAACGCUGGCGGCGUGCCUAAUACAUGCAAGUCGAGCGCAGGAAACUGACGGAACUCUUCGGAGGGAAGGCAGUGGAAUGAGCGGCGGACGGGUGAGUAACACGUAAGGAACCUGCCUCAAGGAUUGGGAUAACUCCGAGAAAUCGGAGCUAAUACCGGAUAGUUCAACGGACCGCAUGGUCCGCUGAUGAAAGGCGCUUCGGCGUCACCUUGAGAUGGCCUUGCGGUGCAUUAGCUAGUUGGUGGGGUAACGGCCCACCAAGGCGACGAUGCAGAGCCGACCUGAGAGGGUGAUCGGCCACACUGGGACUGAGACACGGCCCAGACUCCUACGGGAGGCAGCAGUAGGGAAUCUUCCACAAUGGACGAAAGUCUGAUGGAGCAACGCCGCGUGAGUGAUGAAGGUUUUCGGAUCGUAAAACUCUGUUGUAAGGGAAGAACACGUACGAGAGGAAAUGCUCGUACCUUGACGGUACCUUACGAGAAAGCCACGGCUAACUACGUGCCAGCCGCCGCCGUAACAC